rnacentral:rRNA from 1 species
UGCUUAACACAUGCAAGUCGAACGAACCUUCGGGUUAGUGGCGGACGGGUGAGUAACGCGUGAGAAUCUGCCCUCAGGAGGGGGAUAACGGUUGGAAACGACCGCUAAUACCCCAUAUGCCGCGAGGUGAAAUGAAUUUCGCCUGGGGAUGAGCUCGCGUCUGAUUAGCUAGUUGGUGGGGUAAAGGCCUACCAAGGCAUCGAUCAGUAGCUGGUCUGAGAGGAUGAUCAGCCACACUGGGACUGAGACACGGCCCAGACUCCUACGGGAGGCAGCAGUGGGGAAUUUUCCGCAAUGGGCGAAAGCCUGACGGAGCAACGCCGCGUGAGGGAUGAAGGCCUCUGGGCUGUAAACCUCUUUUAUCAAGGAAGAAGAUCUGACGGUACUUGAUGAAUAAGCCACGGCUA